rnacentral:rRNA from 1 species
UACGGGGGGGGCAAGCGUUGUUCGGAAUUACUGGGCGUAAAGGGCGCGUAGGUGGCCAACUAAGUCGGACGUGAAAUCCCUCGGCUUAACCGGGGAACUGCGUCUGAUACUGGAUGGCUUGAGUUCGGGAGAGGGAUGCGGAAUUCCAGGUGUAGCGGUGAAAUGCGUAGAUAUCGUAAGGAAGACCAGUGGCGAAGGCGGGUCUCUGGACAGUUACUGACGCUGAGGCACGAAGGCCAGGGGAGCAAACGGG